ensembl:lncRNA
GAGGCCUGAGUUCGCUUUUUUCGUCCUCUGCUUUUUCUCUUCAUCUGUUUUCUUCCGCUCCAGUCUCUCUCCUUCACUGGUAGCUCCCCUAUGAUGUGCCCCACAGAGGGCUCCCUCUCCUCCCCUCAUUGCCUUGCUACAUGUGUGGUGUGGUGUGGUGCAGUGAGUGGAGUAGUGUGUGGUGUGUGGUGUGGUGUGUGGAGUAGUGUGUGGUGUGUGGAGUGGUGUGUGGUGUGGAGUAGUGUGUGGUGUGGUGUGUGGUGUAGUGUGUGGUGUAGUGUGUGGUGUGGAGUAGUGUGUGGUGUGUGGUGUGUGGUGUGGAGUAGUGUGUGGUGUGGUGUUGUGUGGUGUAGUGUGUGGAGUAGUGUGUGGUGUGUGGAGUAGUGUGUAGUGUGGUGUAGUGUGUGGUGUGGUGUGGAGUAGUGUGGUGUAGUGUGUGUGGUGUGAUGUGUGGUGUGUGGUGUGGAGUAGUGUGUGGUGUGUGGUGUAGUGUGUGGUGUGGAGUAGUGUGUGGUGUGUGGUGUGGAGUAGUGUGGUGUAGUGUGUGGUGUGUGGUGUGGAGUAGUG